rnacentral:rRNA from 1 species
GACGAACGCUGGCGGCGUGCUUAACACAUGCAAGUCGAACGGUAAGGCUCCAGCUUGCUGGGGUACACGAGUGGCGAACGGGUGAGUAACACGUGGGUGACCUGCCCUGCACUUCGGGAUAAGCCUGGGAAACUGGGUCUAAUACCGGAUAGGACCGCACCGUGAGGGUGUGGUGGAAAGUUUUUUCGGUGUGGGAUGGGCCCGCGGCCUAUCAGCUUGUUGGUGGGGCAAUGGCCUACCAAGGCGGCGACGGGUAGCCGGCCUGAGAGGGUGGACGGCCACAUUGGGACUGAGACACGGCCCAGACUCCUACGGGAGGCAGCAGUGGGGAAUAUUGCACAAUGGGCGGAAGCCUGAUGCAGCGACGCCGCGUGGGGGAUGACGGCCUUCGGGUUGUAAACUCCUUUCACCAUCGACGAAGGGUUUCUGACGGUAGAUGGAGAAGAAGCACCGGCUAACUACGUG